rnacentral:rRNA from 1 species
GACGAACGCUGGAGGCGUGCUCAACACAUGCAAGUCGAACGAUGAAAUGGAGCUUGCUCCAUGGAUUAGUGGCGAACGGGUGAGUAACACGUGAAUAACCUGCCCUUAAUUUUGGAAUAACCCAGGGAAACCUGGGCUAAUACCGGAUAAGUAAACCUGUGGCAUCACAUGGUUUUGGAAAGUUUUUCGAUUAAGGAUGGAUUCGCGGCCUAUCAGCUUGUUGGUGAGGUAAUGGCUCACCAAGGCGACGACGGGUAGCCGGCCUGAGAGGGUGAAAGGCCAACCUGGGACUGAGACACGGCCCAGACUCCUACGGGAGGCAGCAGUGGGGAAUAUUGCGCAAUGGACGAAAGUCUGACGCAGCGACGCCUCGUGAGGGACGAAGGUCUUCGGAUUGUAAACCUCUUUCAGCAGGGACGAAGCGAAAGUGACGAUACCUGCAGAAGAAGCACCGGCUAACUAUGUGCCAGCCGCCGCGGUAA